rnacentral:lncRNA from 1 species
GCAGCGAUGCNNNNNNNNNNNNNNNNNNNNNNNNNNUUUGGGGGGGUAUUGGGAGGGGUCCCUAGGCAUGCGAUGUUGGCGAUGGGCAGCGAUGCCGCUGACCCCCCUCUUGGGUGCUCACCCCCUCUCCGUCUCCCUUGCAGUAGGUGCUGUGCAGAAGUUUGUCAUCCGGAGCCUGAAGCGGGAGAAAAGCCGGCGUGCCAGCAUCCUGGGCCCCGCGGGCAUCGCUGCCCUGCAGCCCAGCAGCAGCAGCGACCCCGAGUCCCGGCUGCCCCACAUCCAGGACACCGCCGCACGCCUCCUCAGCCCCGACGAGGUGACAGCCGUGCUCCGCCACUGCUCCCGGGUAGGGAUGUGGGGCACGCAUCUUUUUUUUUUGGGGGGGGAGGGGAGGGGGGGAGCGGGCGGGCGAGGCCCCGCAUUAAGCUGUGGGAGGUAAACUGAGGCAGAGAGGAGGGACACCACCUCCUGACAUCCCUCCUGCGCCCGCAGUACCUGCACGAGGGCAGCGUGGAGGAUUUGGUGCGGCCGCUGCUGGCCAUCCUGGACCGGCCAGAGAAGGUCCUGCUGCUGCGGGAUGUGAGGUGGGUGGUGGCCAGAGGGGACCCCAGGGUAACCCCAAUACCAACCCAGUUGGGUGGGACAGACCCACAGCCCCAGGUGCUCUCUUCAGCCCCAUUCCCAGAGGCAGCCACAACCUGUCCCUCCUUCUUUCUCCUGGCCAGGAGCGUGGUGGCCCCCACGGACCUGGGCCGGUUUGACAGCAUGGUGAUGCCCCUGGAGCUGGAAGCCUUCGACGCCCUGAAGAGCCGCUCAGGUAGAGCCUGCCCCCCGCCCCGGGGACCUUGACCAUGGUGGGGGCAGCGGGCAGGGGUGGGCAGAGCCCCGGGAGGGUGACCGGUCGCUCCCCCUGCCCGCAGUGCGCUCGCCUGCCCUCCGCCCAGCCCACCACGAUGUCCCCCCCAAGAGACACCUCAUCACACCAGUGCCUGGUGAGUGCCACCCCACGGGGGCAAUUUGGGGGAGGAGGAAGAGACCUGGGACGCCUGGGUGCAGGGGGUCCCAGGGGAGAGGGAGGCUGGUGCCCCUGGGUGCUGGGAGGUAGUAGAGGAGCAGGAUCUGUGGACCCUGGGUGCCACGGGUUCUUGGGGAGGAGAACCUGGAGAGCGCUGGGGUGCCUGGGUCUCUGAGGUCCUCGGGAGGGCAGCCAGGGUGCCUAGGCGUCCCUGGAGGACAAAGACCUGGGGCCGUGGG